rnacentral:rRNA from 1 species
AACGAACGCUGGCGGCAUGCCUAACACAUGCAAGUCGAACGAGACCUUCGGGUCUAGUGGCGCACGGUGCGUUACGGGGGGGAAACUGCCCCUUAGGUCGGGAAAACUCCCCGGAAGGGGGGCUAAUUACGGGAAAAGGUCUUGGGCCAAAGGAUUAAUGGCCUUGGGAUGGGCCCGGUUUGGUUUGGCGAGUUGGUAGGGUAAAAGCCUACCAAGGCGACGAUCCAUAGCUGGUCUGAGAGGAUGAUCAGCCACACUGGGACUGAGACACGGCCCAGACUCCUACGGGAGGCAGCAGUGGGGAAUAUUGGACAAUGGGCGAAAGCCUGAUCCAGCAAUGCCGCGUGAGUGAUGAAGGCCUUAGGGUUGUAAAGCUCUUUUACCCGGGAUGAUAAUGACAGUACCGGGAGAAUAAGCUCCGGCUAACUCCGUG